CCUCUGAAGCUUUUCGGUAACAAGGACUGAAGGUCUGCAGCUUUAUCCCCACCUGCCGCCCCCCAUCGUGCCCCCAGCCCGAUUAGAGGGGCCAAAGGUCAGGGGGGUUUUGAAACUAAAAACCCACCGCAUUCCUGUUUGUGACCUUCCACGUGUUUUGGGGGCAGAAGCUGCGCUGAAAAGUUUGAAGUGGCAUCGGCUGCACGUGUGGGACAGGAAGCGGAGCGGAAGGUGUCAAAGGUCAGACAGAUGCUUUCUUUGUGGACAGUGGGCAGGAAGUUUGUGCGUCCUUUCUUGGUCCUCCUCAGGUUGACAGUAGCUGCGGUCCUAAUGAUCUCACAUCCGUCAGAUUUCUGGACUCUGGGUUUUAAAUUGUAGCAGGAAAUGAUAGCGAACCGCUGGUUUGGUUCCAGCUGGGGAUCCCCCGGAUCUUUUUGUACGUCUACUCCCGACUGGACAAAUUAUGCCAAGUGUGAUUUAAUAGGUCAAAGGUGUUCCUGUUCUUUAUUAUUCUAUAUAUGCUAUUGUAUCUCAUGUUUUAAUAGAUUAAAUCUUCAUAUCACAUCA